GGGGAAUAUUGGACAAUGGGCGGAAGCCUGAUCCAGCCAUGCCGCGUGUGUGAAGAAGGCCUUUUGGUUGUAAAGCACUUUAAGCGAGGAGGAGGCUACUUGGAUUAAUACUCUAGGAUAGUGGACGUUACUCGCAGAAUAAGCACCGGCUAACUCUGUGCCAGCAGCCGCGGUAAUACAGAGGGUGCGAGCGUUAAUCGGAUUUACUGGGCGUAAAGCGUGCGUAGGCGGCUUCUUAAGUCGGAUGUGAAAUCCCUGAGCUUAACUUAGGAAUUGCAUUCGAUACUGGGAAGCUAGAGUAUGGGAGAGGAUGGUAGAAUUCCAGGUGUAGCGGUGAAAUGCGUAGAGAUCUGGAGGAUUACCGAUGGCGAAGGCAGCCGUCUGGCCUAAUACUGACGCUGAGGUACGAAAGCAUGGGGAGCAAACAGGA
rnacentral:rRNA from 1 species